CCGCAGCUCUGUCACUCUGCAGCUCUCACUUCUUCCUGCUCAUGAUGUGCUUGGAAAUCCAGUUCAUUCCAUCCUGAGGGGAAGAGAGACAGGGCUGAGCAGGCCUGGAUCUGCCACUCUCGGUCCCGGUAGCUGUGGAGGCUCAGCCCUUCUGCGAUCUCAGCUGCAGGUGCUGCUGUCACCAGGUCCUGCUUGUUGGCAAAUACCAGCAGUGGGACCCCCAUCAGAGAUUCCUCCUCAGCACCAGUGAGUCUCAAUUUGCCAUGAGGUCUCCAUGACCCAAGGGGGAGAUGGGAACCCUUGAAGCUACAUCUAUCCUGAGGAGAACUGGAGCCACACUCAGCACUGCCUGAGGGACAGAACACUCCUGGCACCCGGAGCACCUUGGGCAAAGGGCAGCUGCUGCCAGCCCACACUGUCUGGCACCCACGCCUCUGUUCCUGGCAGUCUGGUGUCAGCACGGCCUCAGCUGACUCUGUCUCACCUUCCAUUCUCUGCUUUGCCUUCCAGCUUUUACAUCUCCCAGUUCACUACCUGAGUAAAUGGCUUUCUCAUAUGGUUGUAUCAGAGACAGGCACCCUGUGUCAGAUGUCCCUGGGGCAUCAUCCCCAGCAGGGUAGGAUGGGCAGAGCUGCUUGGGGCAGGUCUGCUGUGGGGUGGGACAGACCUGCAUGCUGAGGCCCUGGUCAUAAACCCUUCCCACACAGCUUGGGGAACAACUCAACUUCCAUGGGGAAUAGCCCACAGAAAACAGCCUUGUUCCCCACUUCUGUCCCCAGGACCUCACCACCGCCCCUUUCCCAGACCAUUCAUACCUGCCCUGUCUCCUCAAAGCGCUUCUGGUCUGCACUGUCGAUGACAUAAAUCUGCCAGAGGGGACAAAAGGAACAGCAGGCAGCCCCUCCUCACA